GAUUGAACGCUGGCGGCAGGCCUAACACAUGCAAGUCGAGCGGAUGAAGGGAGCUUGCUCCUGGAUUCAGCGGCGGACGGGUGAGUAAUGCCUAGGAAUCUGCCUGGUAGUGGGGGAUAACGUCCGGAAACGGGCGCUAAUACCGCAUACGUCCUGAGGGAGAAAGUGGGGGAUCUUCGGACCUCACGCUAUCAGAUGAGCCUAGGUCGGAUUAGCUAGUUGGUGGGGUAAAGGCCUACCAAGGCGACGAUCCGUAACUGGUCUGAGAGGAUGAUCAGUCACACUGGAACUGAGACACGGUCCAGACUCCUACGGGAGGCAGCAGUGGGGAAUAUUGGACAAUGGGCGAAAGCCUGAUCCAGCCAUGCCGCGUGUGCGAAGAAGGUCUUCGGAUUGUAAAGCACUUUAAGUUGGGAGGAAGGGCAGUAAGUUAAUACCUUGCUGUUUUGACGUUACCAACAGAAUAAGCACCGGCUAACUUCGUG
rnacentral:rRNA from 1 species